rnacentral:lncRNA from 10 species
CAUUCUUUUGUUACUUCAUAAAGAAACGGAGGAUGUUCUGAGUAUAGGAGGCCAACUCAUGUGAUAGUGGUUGCGGAGCCAUAGCCAGUCAAGAGGCUUGUUCUUGGUGAAGUUCACCAUGUGGGCCCAGGACAAGGACUGGGCUGGCGUGGAAAAGAUUCCAAGAGUCUCAAGGUUAGAGAAGUCGCCUAGUCCACCUCCCCUCUCUGCUUCUCACAGAAGGGUCUGCUGAACACUCUGGUGACAGAGAACUCACCCAACAUGUUCCAUGGCAGAGGCUUUUCAUUAGAUCAAGGUGACAUCUGUUUUACUGGAGCUUCCAACCACGUGUCCCAAUACUGCCCUUAGUCACAGGCAUCCAGGUCCUCUCUCUCAGGACAGCACUUUGAAUAAAUGAGGACAGCUCCCAUCCCCCUUUCUCCCAGUUGACUUUCCAGAAACAUCUCAUAUUGUUGUUGGCUUUCCACCAUUUUUCCUCUUCACUUCCUGGGCCUACUACUACACUGUGUGUCCUCCACUUGGUCUCUUCCUGAAAGCAACACUGUGCACAAUGUUCCUGGGGGCAGACUUAUUAAACCAAGUGGACCACUUCCUUCAUCUUAGGUGUCACAGCUCCAUCAAUGCAUCCUCAAAUCACAAUGAUUUUUCUGCACUUCACCCUA